CUGUGGCUUGCUAUUCAGCUGGGACGUUAUAUAGCUGCAGAGCGCAGGAGGGAUUAGAUGUUACUCUGUGAUUCACCCAGUCCCUGAGGAGAGCUAUAUAAAGAUCAUCCUCGUCUCCUUGGCCCCAGGGAAGCUAGGGGGCAGAUUAUGAGCUAGCGGAAAAGACGUAGGUCUCACCAUCUGCAAAGAGGUUCCAGGAGUACACAUCCCUCUGUCCUCACAUUGUGCAGAACUGGAAAAAAGGUGUGCUCCAUUGCUCAACUACUGUUAGCGUAGCCAUGGAAGAAGAGUUUAAAUAAAAACAAAACCACUGAAAGUUCUCUUUCCCACUGAGCAACUGCUCCUUUCACUGGAAUUGCUCAAGGUUUCCCUUUCCAAAGAGAAGAAGAUGGUGUGGAAAAGCAGAACUGAGAGACUUCGUUGUUUACAGAUGCCUUUUCUCCAUAGCCUGGGAAUCCUGAAAUACAAUUGCCUUGUAAGGGCAGGUUAUUUUCAACCACUCCCUUCAUUUAUGUUCCUGUUAAAUCCAUGGCUUAAGUGGGGCUUCUGUGCUGAAGAGAUUUUGCACUGGCUGUCUGCCCAGGGAUGGAUUGCAGCAAGAGUAGACUGACAGAAAUAGGCAGUUAUGUAUGUAGAAUCUCUAAGUCUUGAAAUGAGAAUAUCAUUGCUAGAGGUCAAGCUUUAUGCUUGCCAGUAUUUCCCUCAUUUACUGAAGUCAGUUGACUCUCGUUUGCCAGUGCUGGCUAUUUUCGUAGAGCGCUCACAAUGGUGGGGAUUUUCUCAUUUCAGUACUUGCAGAAAUGAUGCAACUUUGGAUACUUUUGCCCCUGAAACUUUUUCAUUAAGAAUUCCAAACUUUAUGCUCUCAUACUAAAAUUUCUUCCAGAUUACUUGUUUACAUGUGAAAAGUGUUCUAAAAACAUUUCUAUAAAGUAUAAAUUGUUUUUUAACAUGUUUUAUCUAAGGUUUUGACAUUUUAGGACUAUUAUUUCUUCUCCAGAAAUCUUUUCUAAUCUUUCAGAAGCAAAACUUUGAAUUCUAGAAAAGAAAAUCUUAAACCAGUAUGCAGCAUUUUUAAUCUGCUUUUCAAAACACUUGGAAUUAUGGCUGUAAAACCAAAAGUAUAACUGCUCCUUUCUUUGCUCUUCCAUGCUUUUUAAGGAAGACUCAAGAUGUCAUAUGGAAAAUUUGAAGAGAGAAGGAACCUGAGAGCUGACAACUAUGACACCACCUGCUUCAGAUUUUGUGUUCCUUGUGGCAAAUUUAGUUAUAUUUGUCCAUCUAUUUUUGCAACACCAUUUUGUCCAAUGUCUUAUCAUAUGCGGCAGAGUUUUCCUGCUUCAAAAUCCACGUAAACUGUAAAGUUUCCACUAAAUGUAGUUUAUUUAAUAUAAAAAGCCCUUCCAAAACAGAUGUCUGAACUUUUUACAACAAGAACAGUUAUCUUUUUUUUCAGUUUUGAACUGAAUUUUGCUGUAUUACCACUACCUUUACUAAGGCUCUACUGCUUUUGAUUUUGUUUUUAAUAUCCAUUAGUUUAAAAUGUUAUUUUAAAUACAAGUUGCUGUUCAUUGUUCUGAAAGAAAUCUCAAAGAGCCUUGUACAAGAAAGGAAUGAGAUUUGUGAUGGUCCUCAGUUCCUUGGAGAAUUGUUUUAGCCCUAGAUGACACUUUGAGAACUUAGAGAGCCUUAGAAAACACUUUGUCCUUGCACAAGCAAAUUUUCCUUAGUUACAAGGAGAUAGUCACAUGGGGAUUACCAGACAAUGAAAGUCCUUCAAGGCUGAAUCCAAAUUUUAGAACUGAUAUUUUUGAACUUGAACUUGAUCUGAUUCUCAUGUGAACCACAUGAAGUUCAACAAGACCAAGUGCAAGUUCCUGCACCUGGGUUGGGAUGAUCUCAAGCAUAAAUACAGGCUAGAUGGAGAAUGUUUGAAGGCAGCCCUGAGGAGAAGGACUUUGGGAUGCUGAUGGAUGAAAAACUCAACGAGAGUCAGUAAUGUGCACUUGCAGCCCAGAAAGCAAACCCUAUACUGGACUGCAUCAAAAGAAGUGUGGCCAGCAGGGCAAGGGAGCUGAUUCUCACAUUCUACUCCACUCUUGUGAAACCCCAUUUUUAGUACUGCGUUCAGGUCUGAGGUCCCCAACAUAGGAAAGACAUGGACCUGUUGAAGUGGGUCCAGGUGAGGCCAUGAGGAUGAUCAGAGGGCUGGAGCACCUCUACUACAAAGUUAGGCUGAGGGAGCUGGGCUUGUUCAGCCUGGAGAAGAGAAGGCUCCGGGGAGACCUUAUUGACACCUUUGACAUCUAUACCGGGCCUACAAGAAAGCUAGAGAGGGAUUCUUUGUCUGAGAAUGUAGUAACAGCAAGAGGUAAUGACAAUAAAUUAACAGUGUAGAUUUAGAUUAAAGAAAAAAUUCUUCACUCAGAAUCUGGUGAGGCAGUGGAACAGGCUGCCCAGAGAAGUUGUUGCUCCACCCCUGUAAGUGUUCAAAGCCACACUGGACGGGGCUUUGAGCAACCUGGUCUAGAGCAAAGUGUCUCUGACCUUGGCAGAGGGAUUGGAACUGGAUAAUCUUUAAUGUCCCAUCCAACCUAAACCAUUCUAUGAUUCUAAUAUAUGAUUUUGUACCUAAUGAUCUUAGUGUUAAAGCUGUGAUACAGAGGAAUGAGUAUCUUUUCUUCAUGUAUGUACUGCAUUAUGUAUUUUAUAUGUUUUUUUGUUUUUUUUUUGUCAGAAAGGAGUUUUCCUGUGUUCUUUGAGAAGAUCAGACAAAAGGCAAUAUUGAAAUCAACGAUAAAGAUUGUAAUGACUUCACUAGGUCUAGGAUUUUACCUUGGAAUAGUGAAAAACAGAAAUGAACAGAAAUAAGCAAUGUACUGCACUAUCACCCUUGAGAUCUGAAAGGUCUCAAUGAUAUGAAUGCUGGACAUUAACAAAGCACUACUUUGGAAAUGAAUGGUGUGCUAUACAUGAUGUUGAAUCCACACAAUGCUACCUAUCGAUUUUUUUUUUGGUUGAUUUGCGUUUUGUUCGCAAUAACAUGAGAAAUGGAGAAGUGAACUUGUAAACAUCUCUUCCCUAUUAUCAGGCUACACUGCUAAGAUGUAUUCAAAAAUUGGGCUGUCUGGCCUCAAUUUCUCUCCUGUGUGACAGUCUAAUCCAUGUUUAUUUCAGAUUACUGAAUACUGAAUCAAGAAAUUUCCAAAGGAACAUUUCAGCCACUUUUGAUCAUAACCAUUCCUUUCUAGCAGUUUCUCCUGAGUAUUAAUCUACUGAAAUACCAUCUUGGAUCAGCUAUAUGUGAAGUCUACUGAUUUGGUCUGGUAGAUAUAUGGAUGUCGCUCAGUCUGAAGUGAGGAAUGGAGAACAACAGGCUGCUGGACGAAGACCACUUCUGAAAACUGUAUAUGUUCACAUAUUUUCUCUUUUGAGGUCAAACGCUCUGCUUGAACGGUCACACUGGACUAAUUUGCAAAGCUGGAGGAACAAACUUCAGGAAUUCACUUGAAGAACUUGCACUUGAAGAAAAUUUGCAAGUAUUAUCACACUGGGAAUGGAGAGCUGAUUUUUACCAGGAGAUGGGGAGGACGUUACAAUGAGAGGGUGCCUGGAAAGUCUUUGAAUUCUAAAGGAGCUUAUGAACAUCUGUAAUGCUUGUAGUAAUGCAAGGCACCAAUCAGGAGGAAAUGAGGGUAAAUUUUUGUUUUCUGAACUCUUCUGUCUGUUUUUCUGUCUGUCUUGUCUUUCAUGCAUGUCUUUACCUGCUGCAAGAGCUUGCACAAGAUCAAAUUAAACCAAAGAGUCUGGAA